rnacentral:rRNA from 1 species
UACGAAGGGUGCUAGCGUUGUUCGGAAUCACUGGGCGUAAAGCGUGCGUAGGCUGCUUAUCAAGUCAGAGGUGAAAUCCUUGGGCUCAACCCAAGAACUGCCUUUGAAACUGUUAGGCUGGAGUGUCGGAGGGGAUAGGGGAAUUUCUAAUGUAGUGGUGAAAUACGUAGAUAUUAGAAGGAACACCGGUGGCGAAGGCGCCUAUCUGGACGACAACUGACGCUGAGGCACGAAAGCGUGGGGAUCAAACAGG